AAGGCUAGGCACGAGAAUUGCUUGAACCCAGGAGGCAGAGAUUUCAGGGAGCCGAGAUUGUGCCACGGUAAUCCAGCCUGGGCACCACAGUGAGACUGUCUCAAAAAAGUAAAUAAACAAGUAAAAAAUAAAAUCCAUCCUAUAGCAGUCAGGAAAGAGCUCAUUCCAGCAGGAUCAAUGAAGAGAAUUCACCAGAGGAACUAGUUCCAAAGGAUGCUUCACAGUCUACGGCAAAGGACAGAACGUUGGUUGCUCGAGAGCCCGUCUUAAGUCUCCUAUGAGCUUCAAGCCAACACAACAGAGGGCAAACUCCAGGCUACCUGAUCCCUCAGCAAAGAUGCAGAUGGACACAGCGUUCUGGCCCCACGCAUCUGAAGUUCGUCUUAAGAUGUAAGCCGUUUCCUAAAAAUGCUUCCACUGCAGUGGCACAGGCUAUGGCAGCAUUUCUAACGCCCAUUCUGAGCAGGAACACAGGGCAUGUGGGUCCCAACCACCUCCCUCCCAGGGGAGCCAGUGUGAACCAGGGUUUGCAGUAAGGACAGUCGCCAACUGUCUGGCUCUAUGGAAGAGGUGGGAAGGCCCACUCAGCAACUGCUCUCUUGGAUCAUGUGUCCCUGGGGACAGGAUGGAGGGGAGGGGGCGCUCAGGGUGACUCCAGCUAAAGCCGAGAGAAGCCAAGUGCAGGAUGAGCAAGUUCCAGGCAGUGGGAACAGCCUGUGCAAGCUCUGAGGUGGCCACGGGCUGGCACAUGGAACGGAGGGCAGAGGGACUGGUGCAGCAGGAGGGGGGACGGCGGGAAAACAGGAGCCUGGAGGGAGAGGGAGGAGACGGUCCGCAGCGCCUGCUGGCUGGGAGGGAUGCAGAUUCUGCCCAAGGGCAGCAAAGUACCCCACGCAAUACACAGGCUCUUCAUGCUGGUGCUGGUUUUUCAUUUUUUCUGACACAGAGUCUCGCUCUGUUGCCCAGGCUGGAGUGCAAUGGCCAGAUCUUGGCUCACUGCAGCCUCCGCCUCCUGGGUUCAAGCGAUUCUCCUGCCUCAGCCUCCUGAGUAGCUGGGACUAUAGGCGUGCACCGCCAUGCCCAGCUAAUUUUUUUAUUUUUAGUAGAGAUGGGUUUUUGCCAUGUUGGCUAGGCUGGUCUUGAACUCCUGACCUUAGGUGAUCCGUCCACCUCAGCCUCCCAAAGACCUGGGAUUACAGGUGUGAGCCAGUGCACCCAGCCUUGUGCUGGGUUUUAAAGCAGCUCUCCCUAUAUCUCAUGCUUCACCACCUACCAGAGUGAGGCUCAGGGUGAAACUCAGAGCAAGGUGCAAGACAACUUCAGGUAUCUCCAUGCUCGAAGCCCUGACCUACUGUAUUGCCCCGAAAGUCUUCCCUGCUGUGGCUGCAUCUUUUCCACGUGGAUAAUCUUGGUUCACCUCUAGCACAGGAAUUCUUUUCCGGGGCUCCUAGGAUGGGCUGGGUGGGUGGGAGUGGAGGAUGUCUGCCUCCCCUGAGUUUGUAUGGAAAAGGUAUUCUUUUGGUGCACUUCUUUCUGGGAGGGAGUCUAUUGCUUUGUCUUUUCAGAAGGGCUCAUGGCCCUUCGAAGGUGAAGACCCAGGAUGCAGGGUGAUCUGCACUUGGCCCUCAAGGCCAAGGUCAGGCUGUGGCUGGGCCGGGUGGUGAUCCUGGCUCUCACCUGCAUGCAGAUGCACUUGAGUCCAAACCCCACCCUGGGCAAAGCAAGGGCCCAUUUAGGUCUAGAAGAGACAGGAGUGGGUGGGACAGGCCUCAUGAAUGCAAAAAAGAAAGUCUCUGAGCAUCUACCAAAUGCUAGAAGCUGUUUUGCACCUGUCAUCUCUGUUUUUGCUGUGGAUGGUUUAAAAAACAUUCCCUAGAUUUCCCCCCUCUUGCAGAUUUUUGUAUAUUCUGAUGUCUUUGUCUAAGUCUUAGAUAGAAAACGAAAGCGCAGGAGCUGUCGGAGGUGCUGACACCCACCUGCAGUGCUGACUCAAUGGUUUUGUUCUUUGAAGAGGGCUGUUUUUAAAGGGUACAAGCACACCUGUGGUUCUUCUCUCAGGUCUUCCGGAGAGAUUCAGGAGGCAGAGUCAUGAGUCCCAGGGACUCUGGGAUUCUUACCUUCUGCAAAAUAUCCCGCAGCAGCUCAGAAUCUGAUGAGUCUCUUAACUUUGCUUCUAAGCUCAGUGUGGACGGGGGAGGGAGAAAUCUCAAGGGCGCAUUCACAGGAACAUUAAAACACGCAAUAGAAUGUGUUGGCAAAGCUCUAUGUGAUCCCUCCCUGGGGACGUGGAGCCAGUUGGAAGUGGAAGCCACAGCGGCUGAAAGCCUGACCUUCAGAUGUCGCAGGGUGCACCUGGAUGAGUCACAGGAAGAAGGCUGACUCUUGGCCGCAUGAGUCCUGGCUACUCAGCUGCCACCCAGGUCAUGGGCCAGCUCCCUGGUUGCACUGGUCAGCCAGGAAUUACCAGGGCAGCCAUGGCACCAAGGUUUGAUGGGCUUGCCAUCUGAGUUUAAGUGGAAAUGCAGAAUGUGCCCAUACCAGCCUGGGUUACAUUGUCCUCUUAUAGGGGCCUCAAGCCCAGCAGCGAACUUUGGCUCCCGAGUUAGGCAGACUGUCUCGGCUGGCAUGUGGCACACGGCAAGGCACUUCAUUGCUUCAGAGCUCCUUCUAUGCCAUAAAAAGCCCUACAAGACCUGGUGCUAAUCCCUCUCUCUGGCCUGUUCUCCCUCACCCCUGGCCCACCCUGCUCACUCCACUCCAGCCACACUGGCUGCCUUGCUGUUGUUCCUCAACCACAGCUGGCUUGUUUCCACCACAGGGCCUUUGCAUAUCCUGUUCCCCAAACCCUUCCCAUGGCUGGCUGCUUCACCACUCAGGCCCCAGUUCAAAUGCCACCUCUUUGGGGAAAGCUUCCAUGAUUCCCUGACUUUGGUGACUCUUCUCCCCAGUUGCUCCAUUCACCAUUUCCCUGUUUUAUUGGCUUUAAAGCCACUCUCAUCUGGUCUUUUCUUGUUUAUUCAUUUAUCUGUUUAUUCUCUGGCUCUCCCAUGCAAGCAGAGCCUCAUCUAUCAUGGGUACUGCUGAUCCAUGGUGCCUGGCUCACGGAAGGCAUUUAUUAAACAUUUUGAGACUGAAUAAAACACUAGCUAACACCGACAUGCAUUUACCAUGAGCCAGGCACUGAUCCACAGGCUUUUGUACUCAACGCUGACAACAACCCUAAGAGGUAGGUAUCAUUAUAUCCCCCAUUAAUAAGAAAACAAUAGCACAGAGAGAUGCAGUCACUUGCCCAAGGUCACACAGGGCAAGGGGUUGGGCCAGGAUUCGAAGCAGGCAGGCUGUCUCCUGGGUCUGAACUCUCAACUACUUCACCCUAAUCAAACAAUCCCUCUGGUCAAAUGUGAGUGAUAAUAAUAGUACCCACCUCGUGGGUGUUGAGGGUGAGCCCAAGUUAGCAUUCAGCGUGGGCAUGUGAACAAUUAUAGUCAAUAUUGAAUGGAGACCUAUGAUGCUUUUAUGAAGGUUUCUAUUUUGGAUUAAAAAUGCACAAAUUUCUCCUGACCAGAAAUGAUCUCUGAGUGCUAAAUAUUUUAUGUCAAUGGAAGAAUGCAAAUGAUUAAGCAACACCCCAUAAAAUGGGGCAGACCCAGGGAGGAAUAUAUAUCCAAACUGACUCAUCCCAGUGAGCUCACUGCACAUGAAUUACAAAUGGAGCGGGGUGCAUUAAGCCCCUCUGCUGGCAGAAGGGAGGCUGCUGCCUGCCAUGCGCCUGUGCUGAGAAUGGC
rnacentral:lncRNA from 1 species